rnacentral:rRNA from 1 species
AGAGUUUGAUCAUGGCUCAGAAUCAACGCUGGCGGCGUGCCUAACACAUGCAAGUCGAACGGGAAAGCACUUUUCGGAGUGCGAGUAAAGUGGCGAACGGGUGAGUAACGCGUGGGUGAUCUACCCUUGGGUGGGGGAUAACUUCGCGAAAGCGGAGCUAAUACCGCAUGAGCCUGAUUUUGUAAGUGAGAUCAGGGAAAGUUUUUAUAGAUGCCGAAGGAGGAGCCCGCGUCCGAUUAGCUAGUUGGUGGGGUAAGAGCUUACCAAGGCGACGAUCGGUAGCCGGUCUGAGAGGACGGACGGUCACACUGGGACUGAGACACGGCCCAGACUCCUACGGGAGGCAGCAGUGGGGAAUUUUGGGCAAUGGGCGCAAGCCUGACCCAGCAACGCCGCGUGGAGGAUGAAGGUUUUCGGAUCGUAAACUCCUGUCUAGAGGGACGAAGCAAGUGACGGUACCUCUGGAGGAAGCCCCGGCUAACUCCGUGCCAGCAGCCGCGGUAAUACGGGGGGGGCGAGCGUUGUUCGGAAUUACUGGGCGUAAAGGGCGCGUAGGCGGUUUCGGAAGUCAUGGGUGAAAGUCCUCGGCUCAACCGAGGGAUUGCCUGUGAAACCACGGGACUGGAGUGCUGGAGAGGGAAGUGGAAUUCCCAGUGUAGCGGUGAAAUGCGUAGAUAUUGGGAGGAACACCGGUGGCGAAGGCGGCUUCCUGGACAGACACUGACGCUGAGGCGCGAAAGCCAGGGGAGCGAACGGGAUUAGAUACCCCGGUAGUCCUGGCUGUAAACGAUGAACACUUGGUGUGGGGGGUGAUGAAAGUCCCUCUGUGCCGGAGAGAACUCAUUAAGUGUUCCGCCUGGGGAGUACGGCCGCAAGGCUGAAACUCAAAUGAAUUGACGG